ACGCUGGCGGCAGGCCUAACACAUGCAAGUCGAGCGGUAGAGAGAAGCUUGCUUCUCUUGAGAGCGGCGGACGGGUGAGUAAUGCCUAGGAAUCUGCCUGGUAGUGGGGGAUAACGUUCGGAAACGGACGCUAAUACCGCAUACGUCCUACGGGAGAAGGCAGGGGACCUUCGGGCCUUGCGCUAUCAGAUGAGCCUAGGUCGGAUUAGCUAGUUGGUGAGGUAAUGGCUCACCAAGGCGACGAUCCGUAACUGGUCUGAGAGGAUGAUCAGUCACACUGGAACUGAGACACGGUCCAGACUCCCACGGGAGGCAGCAGUGGGGAAUAUUGGACAAUGGGCGAAAGCCUGAUCCAGCCAUGCCGCGUGUGUGAAGAAGGUCUUCGGAUUGUAAAGCACUUUAAGUUGGGAGGAAGGGCAGUUACCUAAUACGUGAUUGUUUUGACGUUACCGACAGAAUAAGCACCGGCUAACUCUGUGCCAGCAGCCGCGGUAAUACAGAGGGUGCAAGCGUUAAUCGGAAUUACUGGGCGUAAAGCGCGCGUAGGUGGUUUGUUAAGUUGGAUGUGAAAUCCCCGGGCUCAACCUGGGAACUGCAUUCAAAACUGACUGACUAGAGUAUGGUAGAGGGUGGUGGAAUUUCCUGUGUAGCGGUGAAAUGCGUAGAUAUAGGAAGGAACACCAGUGGCGAAGGCGACCACCUGGACUGAUACUGACACUGAGGUGCGAAAGCGUGGGGAGCAAAC
rnacentral:rRNA from 1 species